UGGGGAAUAUUGCACAAUGGGCGCAAGCCUGAUGCAGCCAUGCCGCGUGUAUGAAGAAGGCCUUCGGGUUGUAAAGUACUUUCAGCGGGGAGGAAGGCGAUAAGGUUAAUAACCUUGUCGAUUGACGUUACCCGCAGAAGAAGCACCGGCUAACUCCGUGCCAGCAGCCGCGGUAAUACGGAGGGUGCAAGCGUUAAUCGGAAUACUGGGCGUAAAGCGCACGCAGGCGGUCUGUCAAGUCGGAUGUGAAAUCCCCGGGCUCAACCUGGGAACUGCAUUCGAAACUGGCAGGCUAGAGUCUUGUAGAGGGGGGUAGAAUUCCAGGUGUAGCGGUGAAAUGCGUAGAGAUCUGGAGGAAUACCGGUGGCGAAGGCGGCCCCCUGGACAAAGACUGACGCUCAGGUGCGAAAGCGUGGGGAGCAAACA
rnacentral:rRNA from 1 species